UUGUUGAAAAUAUUAGAUUAUCGUUAAUAAUCGGAUAUACUAUUAAGUAAUUAAUUAAUGUUUUUAUAUUAAUAUAUAGCAAAUUAUGCAAAUCAUUUAAUUGUUAUUAGAAAACAAUCUAUUGCGAAGUUGUUAUAUUUUUGUAUAUUGAAAUGAGAAAAUAUUAAUAUAAUAUAAUAUAAUAUAAUAUAAUAUAAUGAGAAAAAUUUUUAUAGUAAUUAGAUUUUAACACAAUUUCAAUUUGUAUUGUUAUUAAUAUUUCAAGUUUGAACAGAGUUUUAUAUUUCAUUAGUUUAUACUUCUUUAACAAUGAACGAUAUAUUUUUAAGAACAAAUUAUAAUAUUUCAUAUGUUUUGUUUCAGUUUUUCAUAAUUUCUACUUUUUCCUGUGCUUCGGAAAGGACGCAGUGAUGCUUCAGAACUAAGCAUGUUUAUCACUCCUUCUUCUUCCUCCUGCUUCCUGUAAAGGACCUAGUGGUGCUUCAAAAGCCAAGAAUUGUUUUCCAUGAUGGGAUUGCAUGACUCCUCCUUGAUAACGGUCUUCACGACGACUUUUCCUGGGCUACCAUA